AGUGAACGCUGGCGGUAGGCCUAACACAUGCAAGUCGAACGGCAGCACAGAGGAGCUUGCUCCUUGGGUGGCGAGUGGCGGACGGGUGAGGAAUACAUCGGAAUCUACUCUGUUGUGGGGGAUAACGUAGGGAAACUUACGCUAAUACCGCAUACGACCUACGGGUGAAAGCAGGGGAUCUUCGGACCUUGCGCGAUUGAAUGAGCCGAUGUCGGAUUAGCUAGUUGGCGGGGUAAAGGCCCACCAAGGCGACGAUCCGUAGCUGGUCUGAGAGGAUGAUCAGCCACACUGGAACUGAGACACGGUCCAGACUCCUACGGGAGGCAGCAGUGGGGAAUAUUGGACAAUGGGCGCAAGCCUGAUCCAGCCAUACCGCGUGGGUGAAGAAGGCCUUCGGGUUGUAAAGCCCUUUUGUUGGGAAAGAAAUCCAGCCGGCUAAUACCUGGUUGGGAUGACGGUACCCAAAGAAUAAGCACCGGCUAACUUCGUG
rnacentral:rRNA from 1 species